rnacentral:rRNA from 1 species
UACGUAGGGUGCGAGCGUUGUCCGGAAUUAUUGGGCGUAAAGAGCUUGUAGGCGGUUUGUCGCGUCUGCUGUGAAAAUCCGGGGCUCAACCCCGGACUUGCAGUGGGUACGGGCAGGCUAGAGUGUGGUAGGGGAGACUGGAAUUCCUGGUGUAGCGGUGAAAUGCGCAGAUAUCAGGAGGAACACCGAUGGCGAAGGCAGGUCUCUGGGCCGCUACUGACGCUGAGAAGCGAAAGCAUGGGGAGCGAACAGG